GGGUAGCUUGCUACCUGACCUAGCGGCGGACGGGUGAGUAAUGCUUAGGAAUCUGCCUAUUAGUGGGGGACAACAUUCCGAAAGGAAUGCUAAUACCGCAUACGCCCUACGGGGGAAAGCAGGGGAUCUUCGGACCUUGCGCUAAUAGAUGAGCCUAAGUCAGAUUAGCUAGUUGGUGGGGUAAAGGCCUACCAAGGCGACGAUCUGUAGCGGGUCUGAGAGGAUGAUCCGCCACACUGGGACUGAGACACGGCCCAGACUCCUACGGGAGGCAGCAGUGGGGAAUAUUGGACAAUGGGCGAAAGCCUGAUCCAGCCAUGCCGCGUGUGUGAAGAAGGCCUUUUGGUUGUAAAGCACUUUAAGCGAGGAGGAGGCUACUUGGAUUAAUACUCUAGGAUAGUGGACGUUACUCGCAGAAUAAGCACCGGCUAACUCUGUGCCAGCAGCCGCGGUAAUACAGAGGGUGCGAGCGUUAAUCGGAUUUACUGGGCGUAAAGCGUGCGUAGGCGGCUUUUUAAGUCGGAUGUGAAAUCCCUGAGCUUAACUUAGGAAUUGCAUUCGAUACUGGGAAGCUAGAGUAUGGGAGAGGAUGGUAGAAUUCCAGGUGUAGCGGUGAAAUGCGUAGAGAUCUGGAGGAAUACCGAUGGCGAAGGCAGCCAUCUGGCCUAAUACUGACGCUGAGGUACGAAAGCAUGGGGAGCAAACAGGAUUAGAUACCCUGNUAGUCCAUGCCGUAAACGAUGUCUACUAGCCGUUGGGGCCUUUGAGGCUUUAGUGGCGCAGCUAACGCGAUAAGUAGACCGCCUGGGGAGUACGGUCGCAAGACUAAAACUCAAAUGAAUUGACGGGGGCCCGCACAAGCGGUGGAGCAUGUGGUUUAAUUCGAUGCAACGCGAAGAACCUUACCUGGUCUUGACAUAGUAAGAACUUUCCAGAGAUGGAUUGGUGCCUUCGGGAACUUACAUACAGGUGCUGCAUGGCUGUCGUCAGCUCGUGUCGUGAGAUGUUGGGUUAAGUCCCGCAACGAGCGCAACCCUUUUCCUUAUUUGCCAGCGGGUUAAGCCGGGAACUUUAAGGAUACUGCCAGUGACAAACUGGAGGAAGGCGGGGACGACGUCAAGUCAUCAUGGCCCUUACGACCAGGGCUACACACGUGCUACAAUGGUCGGUACAAAGGGUUGCUACCUAGCGAUAGGAUGCUAAUCUCAAAAAGCCGAUCGUAGUCCGGAUUGGAGUCUGCAACUCGACUCCAUGAAGUCG
rnacentral:rRNA from 1 species